rnacentral:ncRNA from 2 species
AUCGUUCAUCCAGCCAGUUUUUUGGCCAGGACGGAAGUAAGGGAAAGUUUCUCUGAAGGAACGCGCC